rnacentral:rRNA from 1 species
UGGGGAAUAUUGCACAAUGGAGGGAACUCUGAUGCAGCGACGCCGCGUGAACGAAGAAGGCUUUCGAGUCGUAAAGUUCUUUUAUAUGGGAAGAUAAUGACGGUACCAUAAGAAAAAGCCCCGGCUAACUACGUGCCAGCAGCCGCGGUAAUAGGUAGGGGGCUAGCGUUGUCCGGAAUCACUGGGCGUCAAGGGUUCGCAGGCGGAAAUGCAAGUCAGGUGUAAAAGGCAGUAGCUUAACUACUGUAAGCAUUUGAAACUGCAUAUCUUGAGAAGAGUAGAGGUAAGUGGAAUUUUUAGUGUAGCGGUGAAAUGCGUAGAUAUUAAAAAGAAUACCGGUGGCGAAGGCGACUUACUGGGCUCAUUCUGACGCUGAGGAACGAAAGCGUGGGUAGCAAACAGG